AUUGAACGCUGGCGGCAUGCUUUACACAUGCAAGUCGAACGGUAACAGGCCGCAAGGUGCUGACGAGUGGCGAACAGGUGAGUAAUGCAUCGGAACGUGCCCAGUCGUGGGGGAUAACGCAGCGAAAGCUGUGCUAAUACCGCAUACGAUCUAUGGAUGAAAGCGGGGGACCGUAAGGCCUCGCGCGAUUGGAGCGGCCGAUGUCAGAUUAGGUAGUUGGUGGGGUAAAGGCCCACCAAGCCAACGAUCUGUAGCUGGUCUGAGAGGACGACCAGCCACACUGGGACUGAGACACGGCCCAGACUCCUACGGGAGGCAGCAGUGGGGAAUUUUGGACAAUGGGCGCAAGCCUGAUCCAGCAAUGCCGCGUGCAGGAAGAAGGCCUUCGGGUUGUAAACUGCCUUUGUACGGAACGAAACGGUCUGGGUUAAUACCCUGGGCUAAUGACGGUACCGUAAGAAUAAGCACCGGCUAACUACGUGCCAGCAGCCGCGGUAACAC
rnacentral:rRNA from 1 species